GGGCUUGACAUCCCACGAACCUGCCUCAAAGGGCGGGGUGCCCGCAAGGGAGCGUGGAGACAGGUGGUGCAUGGCCGUCGUCAGCUCGUGUCGUGAGAUGUUGGGUUAAGUCCCGCAACGAGCGCAACCCUCACCCCUAGUUGCCACCGGGUAACGCCGAGCACUCAAGGGGAACUGCCAGCGUCAAGCUGGAGGAAGGCGGGGAUGACGUCAAGUCAUCAUGCCCCUUACGCCCUGGGCUACACACGUGCUACAAUGGCCAGUACAAAGGGACGCGAGGCCGCGAGGUGGAGCUAAUCCCAAAAAGCUGGUCUAAGUUCAGAUUGCAGUCUGCAACUCGACUGCAUGAAGGAGGAAUCGCUAGUAAUCGCGCAUCAGCCCGGCGCGGUGAAUACGUUCCCGGGCCUUGUACACACCGCCCGUCACACCACGACAGCUGGCUGUACUCGAAGUCGCUGAG
rnacentral:rRNA from 1 species